AGUGAACGCUGGCGGCGUGCCUAAUACAUGCAAGUCGAACGAUGAAGUCCUAGCUUGCUCGGAUGGAUUAGUGGCGCACGGGUGAGUAAUAUAUAGUUAAUCUGCCCUACACAGAGGAACAACAGUUGGAAACGACUGCUAAUACCUCAUACUCCUAUUUGACAUAAGUUAAAUAGGGAAAGUCUUUUCGGUGUAGGAUGAGACUAUAUCGUAUCAGCUAGUUGGUAAGGUAAUGGCUUACCAAGGCUAUGACGCGUAACUGGUCUGAGAGGAUGAUCAGGCAAAUUAGAAGUGAGACACGGGCCAGACACCUCCGGGAGGCAGCAGUAAGGUAUAUUGCACAAUGGGGGAAACGCUAACACAGCAACGCCGCGUGGAGGAUGACACUUUGCAAAGAAUAAACUCCUUUUAUCAGGAGAGAAUAAUGACGGUACCUGAUGAAUAAGCACCGGCUAACUCCGUG
rnacentral:rRNA from 1 species